GGAUGCCAGCUCUCUGACCCCAGGAGGUUGGAUUGGGCUGGAGAGUGUUCACUCCAGCCUCCUGGCCUUUGCUCAAGCUGUCCUUUGCCUGGGAUACCCAAUUCCUGUUCUCAAGCACAUUUGUCUUGAAGAAAAAUGAUGUGCCGAACUGCGCAGAUGGAAAUUUCGAGCAAUGAGAAAGAUUAAAGUGAAACCCCACUCCUUAGACCUAAUCAUGAGUUGUAGAUUAUUCUGUCGGCCCAGCCAGAUGGUAGCUCUGAUUCCACAGCCCCUUCUUAUAUUAAUGAAUACUCGACUGUUAUAUUUGACUUAGGCUUCUCAUCUGUAACUGGUGAAGCCCGGAAGAGCUUGUUGUUCAAGAGGAAAUCUUGUGUUACUUCUUUAUGAAGGACUCCAGCCUGGUGGAGAUGAAUGAGUCCUGAAGAUGGAAUCGAAGCUGUUUGGGCACAAUACUUUAAUCAGCAUUUAAUGACCCAGUCGAAAAUUCAUUGUUUGGACCCAAGCACUGGUGGGAAAGGCAGGAGGGGAGGCCUGCCUUCCUUCCUCCCUCCCGAGCCCUACAGCAGGCCAUGGAGUGGUGAGCGAGUUCGUACAGUGCCAACCACAUUCCCAGAAACUUCCAGCAGAGGUUAAUCCUGCUCCUCUCAGGAAAAAGUGAUUCAGCUCCGGUCCACCCUGGGUGCAGCGGUCCUUCUGCCAAGAUGCCUUCAUAUCAUACAGCUAUUAUUUUCGGGAGGAUUCCAAGUGAGGGCAGUCAGGGUGGGCUUGGCCCAUUCUCUAGACUUUGGAAGGUAAUGUUCUAUAGAGGCCUGUUCUGAAGCUUUACCAGGUCAAACCGGAGAAGAACCCAACAAGUAACUCAUCCCAGCCUAACUAUUCUUCAAGGGCAAUCAACCUACAGCAUCCAAGCACAGAGAAAUCAAAUCCAUGGAGAAUCUUCAAAUUAGGCUCAGAAUCCAUUUGGGUCAAUGAAUUUACUGUUAUUAAGAUCUUAGUUGUGUUCAACCAUGAUUUGACAUACCUUAGAGUGAGAAGAUAUUCUUCCUGGCCUCAGACUAGUUGAAGGUAGAGAGAGAGACAGGCCCUUGGGUGUGGGGAGACCUCUCCUGGGAUAAUACACACAAAAAACCAAGAGCUGCUCACUGUGGUGCAGGAGACAGCAGGGCCUGAAGCCAGAGGCUCUGUGUCCUUGAAUACAAUGUUUUACUCCUCUGACCCCUGUUACUGUGAUUUGGAGAGGCAGACAAUAUAGGAUGGGCUUUGCAGGCAGGGAGGUCCAGUUAUAAUCCCAGCUCUUACUAAGUUGGGUAAGACUCACUCUGAGACUUAGUUUCUUCUGUCAUCUCUCAAUAGAAUCAUAAAGGUACUUUCCUCUUAGUGUUGUUUUAAAAUUCAGUAAAAUAAUGCAGGCUUAGCACAGGGUCUGAUGUAAAUUUUCAAUGAAUUAUCGUUGUCAAUAUUGUUCUGGAAAACAAGAGGGCAUAUUAGAAGAUCAAAAGUACUGCCAAGCAUUGAAGUGCCAAUUCUAGAUCCAGUCUCAGCCCUCUGAGAAUGGAUAUCAUUGUUUUCAAGCCAUUCAGAAACCAAUGUGAAUUGAACACCUAGUAUGAGCUCUCUGAGGGAAGAGCCAAGUCAUGCAUUUUUUAUCUUAAGGGGUCUUCAAUACCUCUAGCCCAAAACAGUAUCUCCAUCAGGAUUCUUCUCUGAUAGUGUUCAUUUCUUUUUUCUCAAUGGAUGCCUUAAAAAAAAAAUCCUACAAGGAAACCUGUACUCCUCAAAUACACCACUCAGGUGACCAUUAAAUCAUUUACAUUGUUAAUUUCUUUUCAGAU
rnacentral:lncRNA from 1 species